rnacentral:rRNA from 1 species
AAAUAAAGACCAGUAUGAACGGCUAAAUGAGGACAAACCUGUCUCUAAUAACUAAUCAGUGAAACUGAUCUUCCAGUACAAAAGCUGGAAUAUACACAUAAUACGAGAAGACCCCGUGGAGCUUAAAACAAAGUACUAACUAUAAAGCCCUAGUACCCUGUUUUGAGUUGGGGCGACUUCGGAAUAAAACAAAACUUCCGAGCACAAAACCACCAGUUCAAGCCAAGGCCAACAAGCCUAAUCACAAUACGGACCCGGCCCAUGCCGACCAACGAACCAAGUUACCCCGGGGAUAACAGCGCUAUCUUCUUCAAGAGUCCCUAUCAACAUGAAGGUUUACGACCUCGAUGUUGGAUCAUGACACC